rnacentral:rRNA from 1 species
GAUGAACGCUGGCGGCGUGCCUAAUACAUGCAAGUCGAGCGAACAGAUGAGGAGCUUGCUCCUCUGACGUUAGCGGCGGACGGGUGAGUAACACGUGGAUAACCUACCUAUAAGACUGGGAUAACUUCGGGAAACCGGAGCUAAUACCGGAUAAUAUAUUGAACCGCAUGGUUCAAUAGUGAAAGACGGUUUUGCUGUCACUUAUAGAUGGAUCUGCGCCGCAUUAGCUAGUUGGUAAGGUAACGGCUUACCAAGGCAACGAUGCGUAGCCGACCUGAGAGGGUGGUCGGCCACACUGGAACUGAGACACGGUCCAGACUCCUACGGGAGGCAGCAGUAGGGAAUCUUCCGCAAUGGGCGAAAGCCUGACGGAGCAACGCCGCGUGAGUGAUGAAGGUCUUCGGAUCGUAAAACUCUGUUAUUAGGGAAGAACAAAUGUGUAAGUAACUAUGCACGUCUUGACGGUACCUAAUCAGAAAGCCACGGCUAACUACGUG